CCCUAGUCCUUGCUGUCUGAGCAUUAUGAGAGCAUGUCAGCCCUAGUCCUUGCUGGCUGAGCAUUAUGAGAUCAUGACAGUCCUAGUCCUUGCUGGCUGAGCAUUAUGAGAGCAGGACAGUCCUAGUCCUUGCUGUCUGAGCAUUAUGAGAGCAGGACAGUCCUAGUCCUUGCUGGCUGAGCAUUAUGAGAUCAUGACAGUCCUAGUCCUUGCUGUCUGAGCAUUAUGAGAUCAUGACAGUCCUAGUCCUUGCUGGCUGAGCAUUAUGAGAGCAUGACAGUCCUAGU